rnacentral:lncRNA from 1 species
GACAAGGCUCUGUGUUAUCAAUCAGCAUGACUGAGGUAAAGAAAGGGGGUCUCACAGAGAAGGUGGGCUCUAUGUAAAUUACCUAUAAAAGGCCUUUUGGGACUGUAUCCUUCAUUUUUUUCAGGAAUGUCUUUUUCUUCUUUGAUGAACUCUCUCGACUUCCAUCACUGUCCAUGUGUCCCAGGUCUGUUUCUUUGUUCCAUGACACAGGAACCUGGAAAUAUCAGUGGGUGUCCUCCAGGUCCACACUCACACCUUCAAAUAUCCAUUCUGGAUACAGGUAUCCAAAUAGCCUUGUAGCGGAGCAGUCUCAGCUAAGAGUUUAUAGCAGCAGGAACAGUUUCAGAUGCAACGUCAAUGUCCUUUGCAGGCCCCUGUGAACUCUGGAUGAAAAAGAAGAAGAAAUCCAAAUCCACAGCAGCACAUUGUUGGCAUGUUAUUCUGGGCUUCAUUUUCAGCUUUAAAAGCUUUUCCUCAGUGCUGCCUGCCAGAAUGAGACACAUGCAAACAGGACUGAAACCCACACCUGGGAGUCGCACAUGCAUGACCACUGAAAAGUUCAGACUCUGCGUCGAACAAAGCAUACCCUUGGCUCAUUGAAGUUGCGCCAGGAAAAGGGCACGGUUUAGCUGGCAGUGUAGUCACAGCCAGAAAAUGUUUAAAAGACACUAAGAAUUCAGACAGACACAUUCCUUACAUUCUUAAGUUCAACUUCUCUUAACAGAUAAAUAAAGAUGAGACUGCAUUUGAUUGGUCCUCCA